rnacentral:rRNA from 1 species
AUGAAGUUCGAUGAGGAUAAUCUAUUUACAGUAACUCCUAACAUAGUAAAGUUCUUGAUUAAUAAAGAUGAGCCUAACUCUAAGCAAUAUCUAAAGGGUUGCCUACCAAGUAGCUUACCUAUGCUUAAGAUGUUUGGUAUCUAUACGCUUGAGGCUAUCAUGAUUCAUGUACUAGGCUUGGUAUUCAACACUCUUCAGGAAUCAUCCGCAGUUAAGGCAGCUAGAUUUAUAGAUCAACUUAAUUCAACUGUAUGA